rnacentral:rRNA from 1 species
UUUGAUCAUGGCUCAGAUUGAACGCUGGCGGCAGGCCUAACACAUGCAAGUCGAGGGGUAACAGGGAUUAGCUUGCUAAUCUGCUGACGACCGGCGCACGGGUGCGUAACGCGUAUACAAUCUGCCUUAUACUGGGGUAUAGCCUUUAGAAAUGAAGAUUAACACCCCAUAGUCUAUAGAUGUGGCAUCACGACUAUAGUAAAGGUUACGGUAUAAGAUGAGUAUGCGUCCUAUUAGUUAGUUGGUAAGGUAACGGCUUACCAAGACUACGAUAGGUAGGGGCCCUGAGAGGGGGAUCCCCCACACUGGUACUGAGACACGGACCAGACUCCUACGGGAGGCAGCAGUGAGGAAUAUUGGACAAUGGAGGCAACUCUGAUCCAGCCAUGCCGCGUGC